AAAUGAACACAUAAGAAAAUUUAAACGACGAUGAUGGUGACUUUUUUAGAAAAAAAUUAGAAGAUUUACAAAAGUCCAUAGGUGAGUAAAAUUGCUUUUAUGUUUAUUAUACACC